GACGAACGCUGCCGGCGUGCUUAACACAGGCAAGUCGAACGGAAAGGCCCGGCUUUUGUUUGGUUCUCGAGUGGCGAACGAGUGAGUAACACUAGAGUGACCUGCCCUGGACUUUGGGAUAACUUCAGCAAACUGGGGCUAAUACCGGAUAGGAGUUCCGGCUGCGUGGGGGGGGGUGGAAAGUUUGGGCGGUUGGGGUUGGACUCGCGGCUUAUCAGCUUGUUGGGGUGGUGGUGUCUUACCAAGGCUUUGACGGGUAGCCGGACUGGGAGGGUGACCCGCCACAUUGGCCCUGGGGUGCGGCCCGGACGCAAACGGGGGGAAGCAGUGGAGCAUAUUGCAAGCUGGGCGGAAGCCUGAUGGAGGACCGUCGCGUGCGAAAUGACGGCCUUCGGGUUGUAAACCGCUUUCGCCUGUGACGACGCGUGAGUGACGGUACUGGGUAAAGAAGCACCGGCUACCUACGU
rnacentral:rRNA from 1 species